CUGCCCACUGAUAAAUUUCAAGGGCCGCAGUAAUCUGACUGUGCAAAGGUAGCAUAAUCGUUAGUUUUUUAAUUGGAAUCUUGUAUGAAUGGUUGAACAAAAAAAUAUCUGUCUCUAUAUUUUUAUUUGAAUUUAACUUUUAAGUGAAAAGGCUUAGAUAUAUUUGAAAGACGAUAAGACCCUAUAAAGCUUUAUAAAUAUUUUUAUUUAAUUACAUUUUUUUAUAAAAAUUAAUUAACAAAGAUUUAUUUUGUUGGGGCGACAAUGAUAUAAUGUUUAUUAACUGUUUAUAAAAUAAACAAAUAUAAUUGACUUACAAAUCUUAAUGAUCCUUUUAUAAAGAUUAAAAAUUUAAGUUACUUUAGGGAUAACAGCGUUAUUUUUCUUGAGAGUUCUUAUCGAAAGAAAAGUUUGCGACCUCGAUGUUGAAUUAAAAUUUCUUUAUAGUUGCAGAAGU
rnacentral:rRNA from 1 species